rnacentral:snRNA from 1 species
AAAUGUGAGGGCAAUCUGACUGCAACAUCUGUCACCCCAUUGAUCACCAGGGUUGAUUUGGCUGACCUAGCUGGCUAUCCCCUUCGUCCUUCACCACUCCAUGUGCAUCCCUCUCAAAGUUGUGCACUUAGAGAGGGUGACCUUCGCCUAUAGAGGAGGACCAUUCUUCGGUCAAGGGUAUACAAGUAACUGCACUCCUCUGCUACAAGCUCUCAAGGUCCACAGCAGCAUUACACACAAUGAGCAAAAGGUGGAAUUGACCCAAGUGUUCAUCAACAGAUGAAUAAACAAAAUGU